CCAGAAGGACGUGCGGCACCACGGACUCACGCAGGCGCGUUCCAUCGCUUGUUCAGUAAACCUGUUGAACCGAGCGCUGUUAGACCCUGAGACCUCAGAAGAAAACACGUAGUUUCUGUUCUCGAGGGUAGGGUCCGAGCCUGAACCGUGCACGAAACCACCCUCUCCUCCCUUGGCAUGCCUGCUUUGCUGCAGUCCACGGUGAAGGAGUUCUUCUGGCCCACAAAGGCCUGGGACAGCCCAGGGCCCCGUGUCACCACCUUGCUGGCAUCCGAGGAGAACUUGGGGAUGGAGCUGUAGCUGGAGCCACGGCUUGAGGAGGAUUUGGUCACGGUCUCCACCAGAACUGUGGAUGUUUCAUGAAGGCUGUGGCCUCCAGACAGCCGGGGACCUGAGGGACAGCGUGGGGUAAACACAAGCUGGGUCAGAGGCCUGCCUUCCUGAGGCAGCAGGCCCUCAGCCAGCACCAACAGCCCCGUGGGCCACAUCCCUUCCCCACUGCGGCACCCAGAAUUCCUAGUGAGCCCGGCUGUGCGCACAGCUGAGGCUCAUCCUGAGACCCUGGGCCUCUGACGGCUCCAGCCCUGGCACGGUCUGGGAACUCAAGUCCCAGGGUUAAGAGUCUUGCUUUAAAAAGGAACAUAUAUCCAACUGAUCCUUCACACUGCUUCCAAAAGGAAAGCUUGCUAAAUGUUUACUGAGCUUUGUGUUUUAGGAAACCAGAAACAUACGAAGAAAGUUAAGCUAAAGCUUGGGAGCCACUGCAGGGAAAAAUUAAUCACGUGACAGACAACAGUAAAGAAGAAGGACUUGAUUUUCAAAAAUGAUUCUCCGUGGUUCCACAGAAUGGUGUGCCGUGCAAGGUCAGGCCCACUUUAUUCCUGGUAAGUUGUCCGUGGAUUUUAGGUCAGACUAUGACUGAAUAUGAAUGGCUGCUGGAGUCAUCCAAGCUGGGUUGGGCUGCAGGCUGGGCUGGAGGGAUGUCCCCCACCCCGGGCACUCACCUGUGACUUUGGCCUUGAAGGGGCUGCCCACGAUGUGCUGGGGGCCACCGUACUUGAUGGCAAUGAGGUAGUUGCCAGGCGCCAUGGGAGUGUAAGUGACAACAUGGCCCUCAGGACACUCCCGACAGUCCAGCUGCACCUUGGAGGGGCCAUCGAUGGUGACAGACAAGGCCCCUGAGCCCGCAUUCAGGGUGUUGACAAUGAACUCUGAUGACACGCCUAGGGACCAGAGGUAGCAAGGCGGUAGGUUGGGCCCUAGGCUCUGAGAACAGACCUCUGCAAGGACUCAGCCCUCUGGGACAGGGCAGUACAGGACCAGAAGCUGAGUGCCCCAAUAUCGGACCCUCCUCCCUAGCCCCAGGCACUCACCAGUAGUGCCUCCCUCAAGUCCAGGACCAUAAGCUGACACCAAGCCUGGGUCCCCAGCCUGGCUCUGUUCCCCAACGCGGAUCUUGAAGGGACUGCCAGGGAUGUGGGCACCGUUGAACUUGACAUCAAUAGAGUGGACGCCGUUCUCGUGGGGGAUGAAGCGGAUGGUGUGCUUGUCUGUGGGGCGGAGGGUUGGUGAGUGAGCCUUUGUUCUUCCCCUCCCCGUCCCAGAAGGGCCUGGCAUGGGUGGGCAAGGCCAGGGUCAGCUCACCGCUGUCCAGCUCAGAGACGUAGCACUCCUCCACCGCACCCGAGGGCGUGUGCACCCUUGCAUCAAUCACACCCCGAGCACCAUUCAGCUGCACCGCAAAGGACGCCGGCUGGUUCACCUUGAGCCCUGUUUCCUGCAGAGGCCACAGCCAGUGCUCAGAAUCCUGGGAGGGUCUGGAGCACUGCUGUCUGCAGCCUGACACUGAUCCCAACCCCAGCCUGGCCCGGCUCAGGGAGGCUCUCACCAAGGCUCCCUUGGGAGGGGAGGGGGAGGCAGGGGCUGGGCCUAUGGCCUUGGCAUCUGCUAAGAGGUGGGCCCACUUGGCUGUGCUGGGCACAGUGGAGGAUGACAUGAUGUAUCCUGUCCUGACUAAAGAGAUAAGAUUCAAACACUAUAAAUCAGGUCAGUGCCCAGAGGCCCAGAAGAGGAAGGGUGUGGCCUAGACUGCCCUGGGGAGGCUCCCUGGAGGAGGUGAGUCACUGGGGAGGACUUGAAGAAGCACAAGGAGGCCAAUUGGGGGUGGGAGUGUGAGAAGAUGAUCCUGGGGUGAGGCAUGGCACCCCCUGCUAUACGGAUACUGGGAAAGAGGGAGAGACAUCUGCCUGUCUCUUCCAAGGUCACUGCUAAGCUCUGGACACAUGGACCUGCCUUCACCUCCUGCCUAUCUCUCAGGAUGGCAGAGGGGCCCCACCCCAUGGCAGAUACCUGGAGGCUGGUGACAGUGAGGCGGCGAGCAUCAUCUGAGAGGGAGGCCACAGCGAGCAGAAACCCGGUCUGGAAGGUCAGGCAGGCCCAGCUCCCACCUCCAUCAUGGGCACCCACCUGGUUCCUGGACAACAUAGGAGACCCCACAGGAGCCAUCUUUUCGGUCCUCAAAUGAAAUCUCCGCCUUGCUGGGACCCUCCACGGCAAUAGACAGGCCUCCAGCACCAGCUUCUCGGGUCCAAAUGCUGAAUUCAGCUGGGGACAGGGAAGCAGGGCAGAGGCAGUUCUUUAGCACGAUUGCCCAUCCUGCCAGCUGCCCUGCCCCCACCCCCUCUCCUGGACACCUGCCCCUCACCUGGCACACCGGCCACACCUCGCUCCAGUCCUGUGCCUCCAGCCCGCACUUUGUGGGCACCACCUUCACCCAGCGGCCCCACAGUGAACUGAAAGGGACUGCCAGAACACCCUGGCCAGUUGCCCGUGCCCUCCCCAUCCUGUCCCCGGGGACAGAAGGCCCAGCCUCCCUGUGAGGACCCUGGCCCAGCACGGCCCUGCUUACCCUCCUGCUGCCGGGUGAUGCUGCCAAAGGAGCCCAGGCGCUCCCGGCCCAAGAAGUCCCCGAAGACCGCGGGGAAGGGGUCUCCACCAACCUGGGUGGACUCCUCUACCCGCACCUCACGCUUGGUCUCUCCGCCGCGCGUCUUGCUGAUCUCCGUGCGUUCUGUGCGGGUGUAUGUGUGGCUGCUGCGUGUGAAGGUGCGCGUCAGGCGCUCCUGGGCAGACACCAUCUGGAACCAGUUCCCUGUGGGGCACGGAGCAGUGGAGGUGAGUGUGCCGGAAGGACGGGGCCCCGUGGGGUAGGCUCUGGGCCCGCUGCCCUCCCCCGAGCCCUGCCAGGCUCUUCCUGGCUCCUACCUGGGAUCUUGAGAUUGAGGUCACAGGUGCUGCCAAUGGUGGCAAUGGAAGGUGCCUGUCUCCGCCGCGUGAUGCUUUCCUUCAUGCGACCCUCACCGGUAACCUUCACAGUGAACGGGCUUCCUGGAGGGGGAGAGGCGGGGGGAGCGGAUGGCUCAGACACCGGCCUCCCGGCCUCUCCCUGCCCAGCUGUGGCCCAAAGCUUACCAGGCACGUGCUUGUCAGCAAAUUUGAUGUUGAUGAUGUAGGUGCCAGGCUCGGUGGGGCAGUAGGUGACUUUGCAUGUGCCAUCUUCCAUGUCCUCACAGUUGAUGUCCACCUUGCUAGGGCCUUCAAUACUCAACCCCAGGCCCCCGUAACCUGGCAGGAAGCAAAGGACACGUGUCCCUCAGGCCCUGCCACCCUGCUCUUCCCGCCCCCCCACUACAGGCUCUGUCUGGACCAGGCACCCAGCAUGUAUAACCACCAAUGAAAGCUGGCUCUGUGGGAGGAGGGGUAAGCCAGACACUGAACCAGACAGUCCGGGAUGGGCAGUAUGGAAAAUUCCCCCAGGUGGGCCUCUUGGGUUCCAGUGAGUGAGGGACAGUCAGAAACUUAAGAGAGCUGAACUUUCUCUUAACAUUUAAGAGGAAUGACCCGGAACAUGUACUUUCCCUCAAAUGGACCCCAGAACGGGGAGUCCAGGGAGGAGGCGAUGACUAAGGGCUGCUGGGCAGGAAAGUUCAAGUCCUUGUUGGAAGCACCAGCCAAAACAAGGGGUUUCUGGGGCGAGAAGCACCUGCGUUGCGAGUGUCCACGAUGAACUCCGCCACCUGGAACGUGUGUCCCUCGGACAGGCCCUUGCCCCAGACCCGCACCUUGCUGGCAUCUCCGAUCUCAGAUGGCCCCACCAGGAUCUUGAAGGGGCUGUUGGUGACAUGCUUGCCACUUUUGCGCACGCUUACCACGUGCUCCCCAACCUCCUUCGGGGUGAAGGAGAUGCCUGUGGAAAGGGGGGUGGUCAGGCAUGGUGCCCAAGGCCGGGCAGAGCACCCCUUCCCAGCUCCUUUUAGGUCUUCCUCUUCCUGAGGCCCCUCCCCACGGCCCCACACUCACCGAUGUGCCUGUUGGGCAGGCGCUUCAAUAGGCAGGGCUCCUCGUUGCCUGAGGGGGCGCGGAUGCUGGCAGUCAGCAGGCUCAGGUCACUCUCCGUGAUCUUCAGUGACACAUCCGUGGAGGUGCCCACAUUGAGCUGUGAUGUCCUCAUGGAGUCAUCGCCUGGUGGGGGAGUUUGACAUGUCAGGCGGUUAGGACUCCAGGUAGCGUGUUCUCAUGGGGCUCAGGAGACCUCCUGGCAGACCCCGCUGGACUCCACAGACCUGCCCACCCAAGGGGCAGAGAGGCCGAAGGCCCAAGAGAGCCUGGUCUUCAUUCACGUGUUAGCUGCCAAAGCUUCCAGACGGGCCCCCUACCCCAGCUGCCUUGUGGAUGCCUCCGGCCCAAAUGGGAUAAAUCCCUAAUCUGUGUAUUUUAAUCGCAAGUCACACAGUUUCAUGGAACCAAAACACUAGACCAGUCGGCACGGAUCCCUUACUUGCUAUGUGGCCCUGAUCAAGUUGCUUAGCCUCUCUGGGCCUACCAAUCUAUCAAGGAGGUUUAUCAGUAUCCUAACUUCAUUAAGAGUUACUCCAAACACUGAGAUGAUGUAUUUCAAAGCCUGAGGGGUGGAUAUUUCUCACCUGCUACAGGGAAUGGAAUGUUCCUGAUAUUUGUACAAAAAUGCCCUCUUCCACCCAGAGGGGCCCCUACACUAACAACCCUUGAUUACUUGAACACACUGGUCUUGCACAUCCAUCGUGUGCUGGGGGCGUAUACUGGAGGCCUGUGUGCCUACUUCCACCUCACCUGUGAUCUUGGCCGUGAAGGGGCUUCCUGGGAUGUGCUUGUCAUCAAAGCGCACGAUGAUGCUGUAAUCUCCAGGCGCUGUGGGUAAGUAGGAUACGGUGCAGGUGCCGUCCUUGUUGUCCUUGCAGGUGAUCUCUGCCUUGGAUGGGCCCUCCACAGCCAGGGACAGGCCCCCUGUAGGGGGAGGUGGGGCUGAGAUCAGAGGUCCUGCCCUCAUCCCUGCAUCUGGCCUCCUACUCCAGCCCUCUGCCUACAGCUCCCCUCACCUUCCCCAGCAUCCUUGGUGACAAUGGUGAAGGUGGCCGGCUUGUUAACCAUGCCAUGGCUCAGGCCUGGCCCAUAAGCACUCACAUGGCGGCUAUUGAUGGCAUCCACAUAAAACUGCAGGGGGCUUCCUGAAGGAAACAGAGAAAGGGGACUGGGUCAGUAGUGAAGACGGGAGCUGCCUGAGCCCAGCACGGUCCCAAGUGCCUUCCUGUGGCUUCCCUGUCUGCUGUGGGGGUCUGUCUGAUGGAAGCCCGCCUCCCACCGAGACACCAGCCUCCCCAGGGCCUGGGGGUGUGUGCUGUGUCUGCACACAGCAGGCGCACAGUGAAUAUUUGUCAAAAGAAGGCAGGCAAGAGUGAAGUCACUGUGGGUUCCUCUCAGCCUGGCCCCAACUUACCAGGGAUGUGGUUGCCGUCAUACUUGAUCCCCAUCUGGUGCAGGCCUUUCUCGGUGGGUGCAUACCUCACCGUGAUGGUUCCAUCCUUAUUGUCGGUGAUGUUGGGCCGGGCUGUUUUCCCAGAGGGCAUCCGUACCUCCCCUGCCAGGGAACACAGUUAUGUAGGGGACCCUGUUUAUCCUACCACAGCCCACCCUUUCCCUGCUGUCCCAGGCACCAUGAGGUAGCCUGGAGCAGUGAGAUGAAGCCCGAACUGGGACACAGAAGGCUCAAGUCUGAAUUGCAGCCCUGCCCAACUUGCUGUGUAGCCCGGGGUAGCUCACUUCCCCCCUCUGGCCUGGAAGAAGUCCCCACUCUGAGCUCUCCUGCCUUGAGGCCCCCGGACAGUACCUGUGAGCUCCCCUUUCUGCACGGUGAAGGGGAUGACCAGGUUGAAGGGCCUAAGCAUGGACUCCAUUGGCUCUACAGGCACCACUGGCUCCUCUGUGGCCUGGGGCAGGGGAGAGGAACAGUCAUUGGCUGGGGAAGGCCUGGGGAGCUUGGCCUGAGUCACAAUUGAAGUCAGAGAUAGGAAAGAACAAGAUGGUUAAUGGUGAAACCAGAGUGGCAGGAGGGGUGUGUCAGCUGCAAGAGAAGAGGUGCCGUGCUCAGCUCAGGGAUGUGUCUGCCCAGCCUGACUCCCGCCUGCUCCCCAAGAUGGCCCCCAGACCAUGCCCCAACCCUGGCCACUGAGGAUCAGAAGGAAGAAAUGAAGGAGCAGGAGGAGGGUGAUGUGUGGGAGGCGGCAGUACCCAGUGUGUGGGGUAGGGGCCGGGCCGGUGCGGCUGCAGCACAUCGGGAGGCUCCUCCACGUGGGGCAUGGGGUCACACGCCUGGGAGACAAGGCACGGGAGAGCGUGGCUUGUUACCCGGUAGGCCAGUUCAUGCCAGCUCGAGUGAGUGAGAGCGGACUCAGAGAAUGGCCCAGAGAUCUGAAGUCUCAGGCUGCCCAUGAGGCAGUAUGAAUAAUUUGAGUGCUUUACCCUCUAGAGGGCUUCAUCGUCCUGCAGGGCCACCUUGGGGGUAUGUAUAGGGACAGUGGGCCUGAGGAUCAGAGAAGAACAUGGCAAGUUCCUCCAGAGAGAGCCGACCAACCACUGGAGGGGCCAGAAAACGGGCUGUGCUCAACUCCCAAGUUGGGAGGCUGUGGGAAAUCAAUGGCUUGACUCUGGAACACUCUGGGCCCAGAAUCUAUCAGGUGUGCGGACAGGUUCGUGAUUCCUUGCUGCUGCUAAGAGGGCCCAUCUCCCCAGCCAGUGUCCAGGGCCUUGGAACUUACCAGCACGUGGAAGGGGCUGUUGGGGAUGUGCUCGCCUCCAAAGCGGAUGGUGAUGACGUACUUGCCCGGCUCGGGCGCUGUAUAGUAGAUGUCAAAGGUACCGUCGUGGUUCUCAACCACAUCCACGUCGAGCUCCGCCCCAUCCGGAGUGGACACCGUGCACGUCACCUUCCCCUUGCCUGCCGCCUUGGCGUCCACCGUGAUCACUGUCUCCUCCCCGAUCUGGAUGCGGGGUCCCAAGCAGGCACCUGCCACCCAGAAGAGCCAAGCCAGGUUGAAGGUCUGUGGGGGCUGUGCUCAGUCCCUCUCCAUUCCCAGCUGCCCCUGCCACCUCAGCCCACAGUGAGAAGAGAAGAAAAAGGGCACUCACCCAGGCCAUGGCCUCCAAUGGACACUGGAAACAGAGAAGAGUGUGAGGCCACGUAGCUGUGGGCAGGGCGUGGAUGCGGAAGGGCGAGUAGGGGAUCUCGUCGCCGCCAUACUUGAUGGUGAUGGUGUACCGGCCACUCAUGUCUGGCAGGUAGGACACAGUGUACGUGCCAUCCCCGUUGUCUCGGAUGUUGGCUUUCUUGGGCUUUCCCUCCGGGUCCUGGGGGAGAAGCAGAGGUCAGGGCCUGCCUGUACCCAAACCCUGACCGGGGAAGUGUACUACACAUGGACUCACCAGGAUCUGGACGCAUGCCUAAGCUCUGCAAUAACAGAAGACACGACCUGCCCAAGCAGCUCAGCCCUGUUCUUUGCGGACAGCGCGAGAAGGCACGAGAGAGAGGCUCUCCUCUGCCGGCGAGAGUGGCCUGGACUGUGCCUGAGUGACUGAACCCGUGAGGUCUGGCGCUCCAGGCAAAGGGCCGGGACGCCAGCCCUGGGCCUGUGGGAAUGAACCGAAGGGUUGUCCCAUCAGCGACGAUCACUGCCCUGCCUCUUGGCCACAGCCUCAGCAGCCACGCGUUGUCACUGAUGCCUUCCCUGCACAACCCUCCCCCGCCACCCACUCUCUCUGCACACCUGGGAUGGGCCGCCCCCCAAAGGUGAUGUUGACGUCGUAGUCUCCAGCGGUGAAAGGGAUGUACUCCACGGUACAGCUACCAUCUUUGUUGUCCUUGCAGGACAUCUUGGCUUCUGAGGGGCCCUCGAUGGCUAGGCCGAGGCCUCCGGUGCCAGCUCCCCUGCAAGGCAACGCCCUUCUCAGCUCUGCUAGGAACGGACCUCCACCAGAUGCACGCCUGGAAGCCAGCCACACAGGGCGAUCAGGGCGUGCGCAGCCCCUAGCACCCCAUCCACACUGAGAGUCAUCGGUUCCCCACCGUCCCCGCUCGGCCCAGGUCCUCACCCUCUUCAUAGGCUGUGUACUGCACUCGGUAGGUGCCGUCCCCGUUGUCUGUCACAUAGGUGUCCGUCUUAGCACCCGAGGGGUUGAGCACACGAGCUGUCACGUGGUUCCCACCUGUGGCUGUUAGGGAUCUUGCGUCCACAGUGAACUCAGUGGUCACCUCACGCAGGACACCUGGGUCCCAGGAAAGGAGUACUCCGUGUGAGUCAAGGGCAGCCUCACAUAGUCGCUCAUGCCUCCACCCUCCCCAGCUUUCAGGCUCUUGCUCUUAUCCGCUACUUCCCAGCCUGAGCCCAGCCACCCUCUGCCCCCCCCCGCCGUGUGCUCCAGGCCCCUGCUUCGCUCCCAUCACCACCGUGUGGUAUUCUGUUCAUGUCAGGCACCCCACCAGGCUGUGGGCCCUUCAAGGGUGGGCCUGGGUCUUCUGUCUCCCUUGACCUUCCACUCUCAUGCCUCACCAGGGGCUGGCCUCCAACAGGUGGCCACUCACACUCACUGAACUGGGCUGAACUAUCUCCUGACCUACUACCCAAAGCUUUCCCACUCUAUCCUCUACACUGGGGUCCUUAGCUUUCUCAGAUCAGGCACCUGAUCUGAAAGCUGGGAUCUCCCCGGAAAGACGCACAUAGGCAGACACAGUUUUGCCACGUGAGCAGAGGCAAAGCUCCAUGCCCAGCCUCUGGCCCUUGGCUCCUUCUCUGGGGUACCUGAGUCCUAAGGACCCUCCUUUUACCUCUGCCUUGGCCCUCCCUGAGCCCUCAGCCCUGCUCCCUCCCUCCUGCUGAUGUCCAGGGCUCCCUGACCAGCUCCGCCUCUCUCACUCACCGUGAGGCUCCACCCCGGGCCCUGAGACCUUGACUCCACUGGUGUCGACAGCAGGCUGCACGUGGACGCGGGUAGGGAAUUUGGGGACAGGGUGCCCGCCAUACUUGAUGGUAAUUGUGUAGGUGCCAGGAAAGGCGGGGCUGUAGGUGAUGUGGUAGGUGCCGUCGGCAUUGUUGUGGAUCAGCACCUCGGCCUUGACACCGGCGUCCGACAGGAUCUCGAUGGUCAGCUCAGCCUCGCCAGCCUCCGAGCAGUCCACCGUGAAGGUGGCCGCCUCGCCAGCCUUGCCACGCUCCAGGCCCGGCCCACUGGCCCGCACCUUGCUCGGGUCGAACACGGGCCGGAUGGUGGCCUUGAAGGGUGAGCCAGGGAUGUGGGCUUCGGCAAACAGGAUGUUGAUGGUGUACUCGCCGGGCUCCGUGGGCAGGUAGCUGACAGCACAUGAGCCAUCACCGUUGUCCUGGCACUCAAUCUUGGCCUCACAGGGGCCCUCCACAGUCAGCCCCAGGCCGCCCGUGCCAGCCCCCUUGGUGUCAAUGGAGAACGGUGCCGGGGUGCCUACCAGGCCGCCCUUGAGACCGGGCCCAUACGCACAAACCUAGGGAGAGGAGCAGGUAUAUAGUCUCCUUACAUCCGGCCUCUCCCGUGCCUGGUCUUCGUGGCUCCCCACCCAGCUAAGCACCUUUAACUGUAGCAGCUAUGACAGGCUGAGUCCUUACAACAAUUCUAGAUGAGGGAAUGGAGGCUGACAGAUUAAAUAGUUUGUCUCGGUUAGUGAAGCUGGAGCCCAAGCCCGGUGUGAUCAAAGGCCACACUCUUCAUAACUAGGCUGUUUCAAAGGCAGGUCCUGAGAUGGAGGGAUCACCGUGGCCUUGGACCCAGGGCUGUAGUCAUUCCAGGUACACGGGCCCUCUUGCCUCUGUGACUUAUUCAUUUUCCCUAUAAACCCUCAAAUCCCAGCUCCCUUCAACUCCUAUCUCCUUACUUACCUUGGAGGGAUCAGGGGGCAGGACACCCUCCACAGCAAAGGGGCUACCGGGCACUGGGUGACCGUCGUAGGUGAUGUCCACCUUGUAGGGUCCCUCCUCAGGGGGCAUGUAGCGCACGGCCUGGGUUUCAGCUCCGCCCCCAGGCUCCAGCUUGCAAGGGAUGGGGCGACGGGAGGGUGAAGUCAUCCGCACAUCCAGCUGCCCUUGACCGCCAGCCCCACGUGUGUUCACAGAGAAGGCCUGUUCUUGCCCCACAGCCACCUCUGCGGAGAGGUCAAGGGGCACAGUGAGCAGAGACUCCGGCCCACCCCACAGCACUUCUCCCUUCCAGGGCGGCUCCUGCCCCACUUACUGCUGUUCAGGCCUUGAACUUUGACUUUGCUGAGGUCCAGUGGGGGUGCCACAUUCACCACAAAGGGGCUCUUGGGGACAGGGUCCCCACCGUAGGUCACCGUCACUGCCAUGUUGCCCUAUCAGGUACAAGAAGAGGUUAGAACUGGGUGGCUUAGACACGGCCUGGCAACAUGCCCUUGGCCGAUGUGGACCUCAGGCUCAGAGUGGCACAGCCAGAGAGGAUAGGUGCCAGGAAAGGGCCAAGACGACCCAGAAGUGGUCCUAGGAGACCGGCGGAAGGAGAUGCGGGACCCUCAUCAACCAGGAUGGGUGGGGUGGGGAGGAAGCGGGACACACCUGCUGGACGGCUGUGUACUUGACAGUGUAGGAGUAGUCAUGGUUGUCGAUGAUUUCAAAGUCCCGCACGGCCUCACCCUUGGCAGCCCCGGCAAAGUGCACGUCCAGCUUGGCCUUGCCGGCUCCCUUGGUCAGCACCGUGAAGUGAGUGGGCUUCCCGACUUCCACACCUGGGGAGCCCACCCCAAGACAGCGGUGAGGGCCUGGUGGACACCUAGCCUCGAUCCCGGCCCAGCCCAGCCCCCGCCCAAACGCCUACCCGUGCGGUUCAGCCCAGGGCCCUCAGCCUUGACUUUGCUGGCAUCGUGGGAUGGGUCCACCUUAAUGUGGAAGGGGCUGGCAGGGAUCUCCUGGGCGGAGAAAAAAGAUCUGGUCAGGGUAGGCAAAGGUGGCUUCUGAAACAGCCCCUUUGUUCCUUCUGAGGCCCACCGCCCGCACACAGAAAGUGCUCUGUCGAUGGCUGCGCAACUGUCCCCAAAGGACAGGAUAUGAAGCUGCGGCUUAGGCUUGGAGGCUGCAGGCCACCAGUGACGGCCAGAAGCCAAGGGUAGGGUACCUGGUUGGCAAACAGCACCAUAAUGGUGUAGCGGCCGGCCCCUGGGGGGGUGUACUUGACUGUGAAGGUGUCAUUGUCGUUCUUGAUGAUGUCAAAGUCGAUGUCAGCUUCUGCAGGGCCCACCACUCCGGGAGCACACUUGAUGCCGAUACUCACGUCACCUGAGGGGAGGCAGGCACAGGGCCAUGAGUGGGUUCUCAACGGCCGCCCCCACUUAGCUAGAAGCAGGAUCUGGCCAGAGUGCAAGCCCCACCUACCCAGGCCCCGCCCACUCCCCUGACCACAGCCAGGCACACCUUGCCCAGCCUCGCUGCAGUCCACGGUGAAAUAGGUAGGCUCGUUGGCCUUGAGGCCCGUCUUCUCCACGCCUGGGCCAUACACCUUCACCCGCUCGGGGUGACUGCCUUCUCCCACGUUCACCUGUCGGGAGGAGGUUGAUGCUCAGCCCAGGGCCCCUCCCACAGGCCCCAUACCCCAUCACAACCCGCCCCGGCCUCAGCGGGACCAGCCUCAGCCUCUUUGUGGGUUUUGAGGUGGGGAGUGGAGACAAGGGCCCAGGGACGACCAACAUCUCCUGUAUGGGGCUCCACCCUCCCUCUGGGACCCCAGGCAGCAGGGGGGCAGGACAGGAGGACACACCCGGAAGGGGCUCUUGGGCACAUUGACGCCUCCCCAGGAGAUGAUGAUGGUGUGUUUAAUGGGCUUGGUGGGCACGUAGGAGCAGCGGAAGGUGCCGUCGCCAUUGGGGAUGACCAUGAUGUUGACAGGGCAGCCAUCAGCAUCCUGGGGGGGGGUAACCAAACGAGAGUCUUAAGAACACUCCGGCCUCCUCAGAGCACUGACGCCCUCUGCUGGCCUCAGGCAGCCCUCCUCACCUACUGCCUCAGACCUCAGGCCAGAAGAGCCCAGCGCCACGUGCUAUGGUGGCGGGGAGCACGCCCUGGGAGCCAUUUGUGUGGCCCAGCCUCCCAGCCCAGGCAUCUGCAAUGUGUUAGCUGGGAAAAGGCUGGGUUAAAUCAAUGUUUCUAAAAUUGAAUAGUGAACAUGUUAAAGGAAAAUCAUCCUCUUGAACCCAAGAGUACAUUCAUUAACUUCUAGGGAUUAGCGGACAGCAGCAUGAGAAACGGACUUGGGAAGUCAAUGUCAUAUUCAAAUCGUCUUUCAAUUGCAAAAUUAUUAGUACAAAAAAAAUACACUUUUGGUAAAAUAUGUUCAUAAGGUUAUCAUCAGAAAACACAACAUUUUUAAGUUUCCCAUAGUUCUUUUGGAUCCGUGAGAGUCAAGCCGGGCCAGUGACGCUACAAUUUCCUCUGCCUCUCACCUGCCUCCGCCCUCCCAGGGUUCCUGCCCAGGGCAAUGAGGGUAGCAGGACCGGGCAGUGACUUACCUGGGCAUACAGGUUCAGGUCUCCCUUGCCAGCAGCACGGGCAUCGAUGGUGAACUCUGCAGGCUUGUCCACGAUGCAGCCAGUGGGCUCCAGGCCAGGCCCAAAGGCCUUCACCUGUGCAGGGGGAGGAGCGGAGGGCUAGGUUGGGGACUGGAGGAGGGCCUGCUCACCCCAUCCCGGGCUAGUAUGCAGGCCCAAGGACCCCACCUUAUCCGGGAAGCAGUCAGGUGCGGCUGGCUGGAUGUGGGCAAUGAAGGGUGAGUCUCGGAUGUCCUCGUCAUCGCAGAUGACGUGCACGGCGUACUCCCCAGGCUCCGUGGGCCAGUACCGCACAUCGCAGGAGCCAUCCCCCUUGUCAUCACACUCGAUCUUGGCCUGUGAGGGCCCCUCGAUGGAGAAUCCUGGGUGCGAUGGAGGGAAGAUCAGGGGGUCCAAGAGACAGCUUGGACACUCGGGCAGGUCUCCUAUCGCUCCCUCAGUCACCCCUCCAUCCCACUCUGUCUCAUCCUGAUACUACCCAGCGUUCCCGCCUCCCGUCCCCAGUCACCCCCCGUGUCCCUCCAUCACACCACUCCCCAGCGUUCCCGCUUGCUGCCACCCAGCCACUUACCCAGUGUCCCCACCUCCGUGCCAAUGGCCUCCACCACAAAGUCGGCCGACUUCCCCACCUGGCCAGUUUUCAGGCCGGGACCCCAGGCCCGUACCUUCUGCGCUCCUGCCUCUGGGCUCACCUGUACCUCAAAAGGACUGGGCGAAGAGGGAUCUGGGGUCAAUGCCGGGAAGCACCUCUGCCAGAGGUCACAGGCAAUGCAUGGAAAUCAGCCUGCCACAGAACACUACCAGUGGCGAUGAACCCAGACCUUGCUACUGAACACAGGCCAAAGAAGAGUGAUCUCAGACUGCCACGGAACACAUAAGAUGGCAUAGGACCCAACGGGAUGCCACAAAACAGGCAGGACGUGUAAUCCAGGCCUACCACAGGACACAGGCAAUGGCACAGAACCUGGGGCCCGUCACAGAAUGCCACGGAAGGGGGGCAAUUCCACACUGCCUGGGCCAUUCCACACAGCACAGGUGAGGCCAGUCAGCUGUGGCCAUGCUGGCCCCACCUCCCCUGGACAGUACUAACGUGGCACCACUUUCUUGGCCUGGUGGAUGAUGGGCACGGAGGGGACGUGUGACGGCAGGGGCUCUGAGCGGCAGGGAGAGAACCAAGUGGCGGGAGUCACCACCCGAGGGCCUGGGGUAUGGGUGCCCAUCACGUAUGCCCCCACGACCCUUGCAAGGUGGCACCUGUCUGUAUACUUUGCUGUGGUCUCCGGACCCUCCCUGGGAUAGUAGGUGGAGAGAUGACCAGGAUGAGAUCUCUCCAGAGCUACCCCCUGCCCCCACCCCAUGGAUAUUCUACCUAUUUUAAUGCCGGCUCCCCUCCCACCCCUGGAUUUAGUGGUUCGUUUCCCAUAAACCCUCAGCCCCGGAA